rnacentral:rRNA from 1 species
UACGAAGGGGGGCUAGCGUUGCUCGGAAUUACUGGGCGUAAAGGGCGCGUAGGCGGAUAUUUAAGUUGGGGGUGAAAUCCCGGGGCCCAACCUCGGAAUUGCCUUCAAAACUGGAUAUCUUGAGUUCGGGAGAGGUGAGUGGAACUCCGAGUGUAGAGGUGAAAUUCGUAGAUAUUCGGAAGAACACCAGUGGCGAAGGCGACUCACUGGCCCGAUACUGACGCUGAGGCGCGAAAGCUAGGGGAGCAAACGGG